GUUGUGGUAAAGAAGAGGUUUUUUUGGGUCAAAGCAGCAAAUUAUAUAGCUCUAAAAUGAGUACAUCCUGCCAGAUCAUGAGAAAGUAAAGAGUACAAAGUAGAAGGAAUAUCUCCUUUAGAUGUCCAAAGAAACUCUUCGGAGUGCCAGGCGACGAAGCAGACAACCUAGUAUGCUGUCCUAUUCGCUUUUCGAAAUACGUGUGCUGCCUGUAAGCCACCCAACUCCUGAGCCAGUCGUCGAGUCUCUCUAAUGAGGGGAUGGCCAUCCCAUAUCUAUCCAUACCUCGGAUCCAGUCAACCUCCACAGAGGAAUCUCCUUCAAGAAGCACCCACUCGGCAUUGAGGACUCUCCUCGCAAAUGACAACCCUUCCCAUGCAGCUCGAAGCUCUACCCCAAGAACUAUAA
rnacentral:lncRNA from 1 species